AGGUAGCUUGCUCUGAUCUUAGCGGCGGACGGGUGAGUAAUGCUUAGGAAUCUGCCUAUUAGUGGGGGACAACAUUUCGAAAGGAAUGCUAAUACCGCAUACGUCCUACGGGAGAAAGCAGGGGAUCUUCGGACCUUGCGCUAAUAGAUGAGCCUAAGUCGGAUUAGCUAGUUGGUGGGGUUAAAGGCCUUACCAAGGCGACGAAUCUGUUAGCGGGUCUGAGAGGAUGRAUCCGCCCACACUGGGAACUGAGACACGGSUCCAGACUCCUUACGGGGAGGCCAGCMAGUGGGGGAAAUAUUGGGACAAAUGGGGCCGCAAAGCCCUGGAUCCCAGCCCAUGCCCGCCGUGGUGGUGRAAGAAAGGCCCUUUAUGGGUUUGGUAAAAAGCCACUUUUUAAGCCGAAGGAAGGGAAGGCUUACUUUUUAAGUUUAAUUACCCUUAGAAUAUAGUGGGAACGUUUACCUCCCCAAAAAUUAAAGGCACCCGGGCUUAAGCUUCCUGGUGGCCCCA
rnacentral:rRNA from 1 species